AUCGGAAAAACGAAAAGAAAAGAAGAAAUUUCUUGAAGGAAAAGAGAAAAAAAAGAAGAUGAAAAAUAUGAUGGAUACUGAAAAUUAUAUAGGUUAAAAUUCGAUUUUAUUUAUAUAUACAUGGACACAUUCGUGUAAUGAAGACGUUCGAUAAACAAUAUUAAAAUGUAGUUACUCUACUGCAAUCUGCAUUCGAAAAAGUUUUAGGUUAACUCGAUCCUUUGGAUUCCUUUGUUCUCGCAGAAAGUUCGAAAUGUGCCGGUAGUCCGGCUCGUUCGAAUCGAACGAUCUACGAAGAUCUCGCGAAGCAGUCUCUCCCGAUCUCUCCCGUUUUCUUUAUCUUCUGAAGGCGAACGGACGCGAUGCUCCUUUCCGCGAAGCGUGGAACGAGAUGAGACGGUCGACGAGGAACGUGACGUUUCAGUCUCCUUGAGAAUUUUAAUUUCAUUUCUUAUCCGUGCGAGUAAAGAAAAGAGAUCCCAAGGACGAAAGGAAGAAGAAGAUUUAGAUGGAGAGUCAACUGCGCCCGUUUGUCUCGACGUGACGAGAAUGGAUUUUCACGGACGACACUGAGCAAAGAUGAUUGCACCCCUGCAAAGGGUGUCGGACAAUCCGACGUUUUCUCACGCAUCUCUCUCCCUCGUUUCUUCGCCUAUGGAUUUUGUCAUCGAUUUUUUUUAAAUUUUUUCAAAAAUUAUUCUUUCAAACAUUCUUGUUCAAUUUUGUUCAACGAAUUUUUUAAAUUCUAGGUAAUAGAAUUUGUCGUCGAGUGAAUCGUAAAGCGGCAUUCGAUGAUUGAUCGGUUGUUUUCCAAAAAUAUGACCCAAGAAGAUGAAAAUGAAAAAGAGCGGACAACUGGAGGAAAAAAAAUGAAACAAACUGUAAUCGGAUGAAUCACGAUGGACGCAUAAUUGGAUGAUUAAAUCACGGUUCGGUAUUUCACAAUAAAAUACCUUUUUAAAUAUAAAAAUAGCAAGGCAGCAAGUUUCUUCGACCGGAAUCUCGUGGGAAUGAAAGAUUGGAAAGGAAGAGAGAAAAAAAAAAGAAGAAUCUUGUAACGAUCGAGAAUAUUCAAAGUUAUUCAGGAGAGACGAGGUAACAAAGAAGGUAGAGACGAGUGGUCUCGAAAGAGAGAGAAGAAGCAAUGCAGGUGAAUGAAACGAGAGUAAUGCAACCAAUUAGUAUGAAUUAGCAUCAAGCCGCCGGAAACGAAGGUGGGGUGAAAAGAUGAAGGGGGCAAGUUGUAUUCUCUCAUCCCUUCGCUUUCGUCGGUAAAAUAAUUACCGAGCGUCUCCUCGCCCCUUCCUCUAUCCGCACCACCGCAUUACCAUCGUGCACCCCCCCUCUCCGUGCACCUCCCUCUCCUCCUCCGUGAUCACGCUACUCUUUCCCCGGUUAAAUGAUUCCCGUGAACUUUCUGUCGGUAUAGUAACCUCGACGUUGCUCUCGCUACGACGCCAGUCUAUCGUCGCUGCUCGAGAAGCUAAAGUAAUCCUGACGAACGGCUCGAGCAACGAACAUUCCACCCGUAUUCUAGACACGAAGGCCGAGGGAAACCUCUUCGAGAAACGGCUAAUUUGUUUCCAUCCCCCCCCCCUCCAUGGAACAAUGUGUACGGAUAAUCCUUACUGGGCGAGUAAUCGCGAAGAAAUGAUAAGUAAUGAGCAAAUUUGUUUCGGCUGAGUUGUACAUUUGCCCGCGAUUGAUCGCCGCCAUUUGUCAAUUCCCAUUUAUCCCCUUCCUCCCUUGAAUGAUUCCCUUAAUUCGCUCGAAUUCCCCUCGAAGAAGAAGAGGGAAAAACGGAAGGAACGAAAGGAACGUUUACGAAGUUUAGUGUCGAUCUGUCUAAUACCGUCAAACGAUAUAUACCGUGUAAUACAGAAGAGAAAACAUUGAAUUUUCAAGCGGUUUGGUGUUAACGCAAUUACGAACGAAUCGCGUCAAAGCGCGACUGUUUAUCAGCAUGGACGUGAGAAAUUGAGAAAGGCAGGUGCAAAGGGAAUGCUCCGCUCUCAACUGGAAUCUUGGUGAAGCGAGGUAAUUUGUUUCGUUGGAAGGAGGGGCGAUGCACCGUUAAUCCAUUCUACAACGGGUGAAAUUAUUGAGUUUAAUAAAUAUGGCUCGCUUUGUUUCUCGAUCCUGUAGAAGAAAAUAUUAAUACACGUGUAUCGCUAUAUAAAGGUGGCCCAAAAUUAAGAUUGAACUUGCCGCCAUUUUUGCAUCCAGUUGUUGGCAACCCUGAAAAAAGAACAGUUUGACAGCUGAGAAUUUUAAGGGAACUCACAUGUGAUUAGCGAAAAACAAACGCACAAUGUGUCACUGUUUGCUGCGGAUUUUGAGCAGGAGGCAUCAUCGGACCAUACUUUUUUGAGAACGAGGCUGGUCGAGCAGCAACUGUUAAUGGUGCUCAAUAGUUCUUUCUGCCGAAAUUGGAUAAUAUUGAUGUGGCCGAUACGUGCUUUCAACAAGACGGUGUCACGUGCCGUACAGCCAAUGAAACGAUUCAAUUAUUGCACCAGACAUUUGCUAGUCGUGUACUCUCUCGUUUCGGUGAUCAGAAUUGGCUCCCUAGAUCGUGUGAUUUAACGCCAUUAGAUUUCUUCUUAUGAGGUUAUUUGAAAUGGAAGCUCUAUGUCAACAAUCCCAAUCAUUCAGCCACAAUUAUGCAGAAAGGUAAUGAAAAAUUUCGACGAAAGGGUGCGUAUAUGGCAGCAAAGCCGUGGAAGCCAUUUGCUCGAUAUGUUAUUCCAUAAAUAACCCUAUCUUAUAUACUUUAUGAUUCGCUUAAAAAAUCAAUAUAUCUAGAGACUAAAAACUCUCUUUUAUAUUUAAUUCAAAUCUUGCAUUAAUUUUGGCACACCUUUUAUCAUUCGAUGAGGAAACGAUUAUCCAAUUAAACUGAUUCGAGCGUACAAGGAAUUUAAAAACGACGAAUAAAAUUUUAAAUGCAAAUAAUUUUAUAGGUUCCAAAACGUAUUUACAAAACUUUCUCGCAUAAAUAAAGCGAUAAAAUUAUUCAAUUCCCCGUGCUUUCUCCGUACGUUUUGAAUAAUCAGUCGUACGCGUUACAUUUAUACGAUAUUGUACAUCGAUGGAUGAAACCGACGGCGGAUGGAUAUUUUAACAAAAAUAUUGCGGAGUAAUUUGGAACGACGCGGGAUGCUGAUUGAACACACCUAUUUGUUCACGUACCUUGGACUGGUUAUUAACCGCAACCCACUGAUAUGCUAUCGUUGCAAAUUAAACCGAUCGGCUCUGCUAUCUCGAAAAACCGUUAUUAAACCAUCGAGUCACGAUAGUUUGCGUAAAGCCAAUUAUGAACUCAUCGCAAUCGUUCUCGUUCCCUUCCCCUCCUCCCUCCCUUACGAAUAACGAGAACAUUUUAAACAGUGCAAAACUGAUCCCCUAUCUUUUUCCCCUCCCCUAUUACUUCGCGUGUAAUUUCAACUCGAAUCGCAAUCGCAUACGAAACACGACGCCCCGUUCAACGCAUAUCGCAUGAAUUGUCACCUAAUCGCGUUGCAUCGCAAACGAUUCAACUGCUUACUCGCUGGUCGACGAUUCGAAAAAUCUUGUGCAUAGGAUUAAUAAGAGGACUCGUUUACAGCUUGUAACGCUUGAAGAGGACCUCGUAAAUAUUGGUCACCGGCUCGUGAAUUUAUGGACUGGACGGCCAUUGAUAAGAAUCGGCAAAUGUCCCAGUCGUCGUACCAGCUUCUCCAACGUGCAAACGUGACACGAUAAAGGAAAUCAAGAAGUGUAAAGUCCAAUUAAGCGAGAUUCGAACAAUUUUAUUUAGAUCAGAAGAGUAAAGCUUCUUUUCUACCGCUGCGUUUCUUCCCGUUGCAUUUGAUACGAAUACCUCGACGAUCAGCCGGAUUAUUACUGCAAUUAAGAAAUUAUAUUAAAUUAUAAUAGAAAAAUAUUUAGUGAUAUGAUUAAAAAAUGUAUAUCGUA